rnacentral:tRNA from 1 species
AAGACUUUAAGUUAACUUUUAAACUUGUAGCCUUCAAAGUUAUAAAUAUCUGACUCUGACUGGAUAAGUCUUA